AGUGAACGCUGGCGGUAGGCCUAACACAUGCAAGUCGAACGGCAGCACAGAGGAGCUUGCUCCUUGGGUGGCGAGUGGCGGACGGGUGAGGAAUACAUCGGAAUCUACUCUGUCGUGGGGGACAACGUAGGGAAACUUACGCUAAUACCGCAUACGACCUACGGGUGAAAGCAGGGGACCUUCGGGCCUUGCGCGAUUGAAUGAGCCGAUGUCGGAUUCGCUAGUUGGCGGGGUAAAGGCCCACCAAGGCGACGAUCCGUAGCUGGUCUGAGAGGAGGAUCAGCCAGAAGGGAACUGAGACACGGUCCAGACGCCUACGGGAGGCAGCAGUGGGGAAUAUUGGACAAUGGGCGCAAGCCUGAUCCAGCAAUACCGCGUGGGUGAAGAAGGCCUUCGGGUUGUAAAGCCCUUUUGUUGGGAAAGAAAUCCAGCUGGCUAAUACCCGGUUGGGAUGACGGUACCCAAAGAAUAAGCACCGGCUAACUUCGUGCCAGCCGCCGCCGUAA
rnacentral:rRNA from 1 species